CAUUCGCACUAUCCAAACCAUAGACGUGAAUUUUGCUGAAUGCGACUGCUCGUGUGUUUCUGACCGCGAGUGGAAGCUAUGGGCGAGUGAGUGUAUUCGGCUCUGCACCUUGUCGUGUAUGUUCUGGGUAUUGCUCAUCGUCAUUGGUCCCUCUGCGGGACCUUUCGCACGAAACUGCUUAUUUUCUCGUUCUUGCUGAUAUAGAAUUCUGUGGAGAAAUUACAAUUUUCAGCGACGGAUAUCUUGGCUCGAGCACCUAUGAAGGGCGCAGCGAAGUGCGAUAAUCGUUGUGAAUUGCAGAACUCCGUGAACCAAUGGCCUCUUGAACGUGCAUUGCGCUCUUGGGAUAUGCCUGAGAGCAUGUCUGCUUCAGUGCUUAUUGUACCUUUUCCUGCUGCUUUUCCAUUUGGUGGCAGCGUUGCUGCUUGCUACUGCUGACCAGCUCUGGCAUGCUUAAUUGAUUUCUGUGCUUCUGGAUUUGAUUGAUCAAUACACCAAAUUCAAGCAAGCAAAGCUUUUCAGUGUGUUUCAACACUUCCUA
rnacentral:rRNA from 1 species